rnacentral:rRNA from 1 species
GCUCAAAUUUGAAAUCUUAAAGGUUUUACCUUGACGAAUUGUAGUUUAAAGAAGUGUUUUCUGUUGGUGUUUUGGUAAAAGUUCUUUGGAAUAGGACAUCAUAGAGGGUGAGAAUCCCGUAUUUGACCAUUACUUCCAGCGUUGUGAUACACUUUCAAAGAGUCGGAUUGUUUGGGAAUGCAGUCCAAAAUGGGUGGUAAAUUUCAUCUAAAGCUAAAUAUUGGCGAGAGACCGAUAGCGAACAAGUACCGUGAGGGAAAGAUGAGAAGAACUUUGAAAAGAGAGUUAAACAGUACGUGAAAUUGUCAAAAGGGAAGCGUUUGACACCAGUGUUGUUUUCUCGAAAAUCAAUUAAAAAAAGUUGGAUUUUGUAUUGUUAAGACCUUAUCAGCUUACUGUACUCUUUUCUUGCUUUUUUUAAUGCACUUUUCGUUUAACAAG